rnacentral:rRNA from 1 species
UGGGCAACCUGCCCUCAGCUCUGGGAUAACUCCAAGAAAUUGGGGCUAAUACCGGAUAUGACCGCUGACCGCAUGGUCUGGUGGUGGAAAGAUUUAUCGGCUGGGGAUGGGCCCGCGGCCUAUCAGCUUGUUGGUGGGGUAGUGGCCUACCAAGGCGAUGACGGGUAGCCGGCCUGAGAGGGCGACCGGCCACACUGGGACUGAGAUACGGCCCAGACCUCCGUACGGGA